rnacentral:tRNA from 1 species
GGUAAUAGCUCAGUGGUAGAGCAUGUGCUUAGAUGCACAAGGGCUGGGUUCAAUCCCUCAUAUCACCA